rfam:Biomphalaria glabrata isolate BB02 unplaced genomic scaffold LGTN_random_Scaffold1905, whole genome shotgun sequence.
AAUCUGUUUGAUCACAAUCUGUUUGAUCACAAUCUGUUUGAUUAAACAGAUUGUGAUCAAACAGAUUGUGAUCAAACAGAUU